rnacentral:rRNA from 1 species
AGAGUUUGAUCAUGGCUCAGAACGAACGCUGGCGGCGUGGAUAAGACAUGCAAGUCGAGCGAGAUUUUUUCCUGUAGCAAUACAGGGAAAAGUCUAGCGGCGAACGGGUGCUUAACACGUGGGCAACCUGCCGAGAAGUGGGGGAUAGCUCGCCGAAAGGCGAAUUAAUACCGCAUGUGAUCAGAGUGGACAUCCAUUCGAAAUCAAAGUCGGGGCAACCUGACGCUUCUUGAGGGGCCCGCGGCCUAUCAGCUAGUUGGUGAGGUAACGGCCCACCAAGGCUUUGACGGGUAGCUGGUCUGAGAGGACGACCAGCCACACUGGGACUGAGACACGGCCCAGACACCUACGGGUGGCAGCAGUCGAGAAUUUUUCUCAAUGGGGGAAACCCUGAAGGAGCGACGCCGCGUGGAGGAUGAAGGUCUUCGGAUUGUAAACUCCUGUCAUUGGGGAACAAUGUCCCGCCAUUAACUGUGGCGGGAUUGAUAGUACCCGAAGAGGAAGAGACGGCUAACUCUGUGCCAGCAGCCGCGGUAAUACAGAGGUCUCAAGCGUUGUUCGGAUUCAUUGGGCGUAAAGGGUGCGUAGGCGGCGCGGUAAGUCGGGUGUGAAAUCUUGGAGCUUAACUCCGAAACUGCAUUCGAUACUGCCGUGCUUGAGGACUGGAGAGGAGACUGGAAUUUACGGUGUAGCGGUGAAUGCGUAGAUAUCGUAAGGAAGACCAGUGGCGAAGGCGGGUCUCUGGACAGUUCCUGACGCUGAGGCACGAAAGUCAGGGAGCAAACGGGAUUAGAUACCCCGGUAGUCCUGACAGUAAACGGUGCACGUUUGGUGUGGGAGGAUUCGACCCCUUCUGCGCCGGAGCUAACGCGUUAAACGUGCCGCCUGGGGAGUACGGUCGCAGAUUAAAACUCAAAGAAAUUGACGGGGGCCCGCACAAGCGGUGGAGUAUGUGGCU